GGAAGAGAGCGGGGGAAACCUCCGGAAGUCGAAACGUGUCGCGGCCCGGCGACGGGUGUACAGGCCGGCUCUUAUUAAAGGGAGAGAAAGGAGCGCGUCCGCAGAAUGCGCGAUCCUCGUUCGUACACGACUGGCAAACGGUCGUGCACUUUAGUACGACGAUGACCACACAACGGUACGUUGCAUUGCGUUGCACGCGCGUUAUAUCUUUUAUUUGAUCGCGCCACCAUAUGUGUGUAGCGUGAGCGAGCCGUUUAAUUGAUGAAAUUCUUUGGAUACCCGUGAACCUGGCGACAGAGGAUCCUCUUUUUAAGACACAUUAUGAGACUGCCGACCCCUCGCCGGAAUCGAUAAAUUGUGGAAUUCACGCCGCGACAUCGACACGAUCGUUGAUAAUAAAACCGCACGAUCGUUUAUUCUGAUUUCUAUUUUUUACAGUUUCCUUAGAUUUAUCUCAAAGAUUAUAAAUAUUCGAAGAAUAAAUUUGUAAAAGAAAGAGCGCGGGAAAAAAUAUGAUAAUUGUUCGCUAAAUAUGUAUGAGAAUUUCAACAAACGAAGCGGAAUGAUCGGCUGUCGCUGUAACUGCAUUUGAGGAUUAAAUUUCUCAAUUACCAACGAGUGUGACGGGAUGGAAUGGGAAGUAGAAUGCAAACAGAAGGAGCAAAUUAAACCGCUAGAGUUAAAUGUAAUUCCGCAAAACAUUAUUUAGCUCUCAACUACUAUGGCGGAAUUAAAUCUGGUAGCAGUGCAAUAUACUUCAUAGAGUAUCACACAAGAGUACGAAAUUGUUUUCAUCUUAUUAUUUUAUUAACUUCUUCAUAACUUUAUGCGUAACUGUCUAUUUAGUAAAGAUAAAAAAAGUAGAAUAAAAGUGAUUUUUCAACCAAGAUGGGGAUGAUUAAAUAAAUCAUCAAUUAAAUUUAGACGUAUACGAAAAUUGGUCUUGUUCUCCGGUAUUAUAUAUCGACACCGCCGAAACUUUCAGCGAUAGUAUUUCGCUUUAAUAUUUUAGGUAUUUCAGGUACGCUCAAAAUUUCAAGCUUGAGGCCACCCUAAUGUAAGUAUAUAUAGUUUCUAACCAGAGACUUCAAGAAAUUCCGAUAACGUGUGGGUACCUACAGCUUGAAGACUAUGGCGUGAACGGCGUAGUGAAACAACUGCAAGGCAAAGAAAUUCAUCUCCUGUUCGUUGACUUACAAAAAGUUAAUAAUAAUGUUUCGAUAAAGAUGCUAUGAGAGUAUUUGCAGAAUGACGAACUUCAACCAAUAUGUCCUCAGAGCUUUACAAAAUCUUUAUAAAGAGCUCUAAAACAACAGUGAAGAACGGAAGCGACGAACUUUUAUAAUUAGAAAAACGCUCUACCAGAGGGAACAUAAAUGUAAGGGGAUGGAAAUAGAAUUGGAUGACGACACUUUCCGUAUACCCUCCAGUUUGCUGAUGAUCAAUGAUAUGUACAGGAAACCGAGAUGAUUUGGAAUACAUGGCGAGAAAAUUGAAAAAAAGAAUAUAAGAUGGGGACUUACAAUGAACAUCAAAAAAACAAAAUAUCUUUGCAUAGGGAAUGGAAUCACUAACAUAUAAAUGGAUGGAAAUGAAGAAAUAGCAAUAUGGGAGGAAUAUAAAUACCUGCGAAUUAUAUUUGACAAACAAGGAACGAAUAAUAAAGAGAUCAGAACAAGGAUAAAGGAGUAAAGAAAUUGGAAAGAAAAAGAGACUUUACAUAUAUAAAACAAUGAUAAAAAGUGAACUACUAUACGAAAGUGAAAAAUGAAAAUUAACUGAAAGCACAAAACGAAAACUAGAAGCUAUGUAAAUGGAUGUACUAAGAAAAUCGGCAAAAAUAUCAAGAUUAGAUAGAAUGCGAAAUGAAGAAAUAAAAAGAAUAAUGGACAUGGAAGGAUCUAUCGUGGAUAUGGAAUGGAAACAACUGGUGUGAUAUGGACAUGUAUAUAGAAAGAAUUAAUGAUGAGAGACUAUCGCACAAAAAGCAGUAGGAAAAGAGGAAGACCAAAGAAAAACUGGAAAAAAAGAAUCAGGAAAAUAAUGAGUACCAAAAAUUUAAAUGAGAAUGACUGAAAAGAUCGAAGAAGAUGAAAACUGGGCAUCAAGUAGCAGCGAAAGACGCUAUAAACGCUAUAAAGAAUAUAUAUAUUAUAUACUUUUAUUUUAUCAUCAAAACAUUUCAAAUAUAUCAAUGCUAAAGAAAAAAAGAAUGUCAAAAAACAUGUCUUUAUAAUAUUCAAGAAGCAUGUCCGUUCAAGUGGUUCUUUUAUUAUUUUUAUGUUAAUCACUAAUAAUAAUCUAUAAAAGAGACUGUAGCAAUUGACUGGUACUUGGCUUUGUACGGAUUACUGAAGCCACAUAAUAAAACUUUUCUACGAA